UACACAUGCAAGUCGAGCGGAGACUUCGGUCUUAGCGGCGAACGGGUGAGGAAUGCCUGGGAAUCUGCCUGUUAGUGGGGGAUAACGUUCCGAAAGGAACGCUAAUACCGCAUACGUCCUACGGGAGAAAGCAGGGGACCUUCGGGCCUUGCGCUAACAGAUGAGCCCAGGUCGGAUUAGCUAGUUGGUGGGGUAAAGGCUCACCAAGGCGACGAUCCGUAGCUGGUCUCAGAGGAUGAUCAGCCACACUGGAACUGAGACCCGGUCCAGACUCCUACGGGAGGCAGCAGUGGGGAAUAUUGGACAAUGGGCGAAAGCCUGAUCCAGCCAUGCCGCGUGUGUGAAGAAGGCCUUCGGGUUGUAAAGCACUUUAAGCGGGGAGGAAGUACUUGGGGCUAAUACCCCUGAGUGUUGACGUU
rnacentral:rRNA from 1 species